AUCAUACUUACCACGCUUAUAGUUGGAUUGUCACACCAUAUACAUCUUUCUACAAAUUCUUUUGAGCCUUCAAUUGUCUUUGAUGAACUUGCCAUUUAGAAUUUUUUCAACUUAGUCAUUUCCAUCUUCAAAUCUUAUAUGAUUUUGAUCAAUUCUUAAAAAGUGUCAUCUUUAGCAGUCUUGAUUACCUUUCAAAGUUACACUAGAUUUUAAGAUG
rnacentral:lncRNA from 1 species